CUACAUUUACAGAAGCCUGCUUCCGUUGUUCUAAAUCUGGAAAAAACAAAUAUACAUUUGGUGAUUCGUGCCUUCGAUUUUCAUAUUGUUUUUCUGGUUGAAAUGCUGAUCCUGUUUCGCAUCCUAUAUUGUCACACACCUUUUUGUAUAUGGGCUACAUUGCUGGAAAUUUAAUAUUGGUGAUUGGGCAAAUCAUACGCCCUUUAUCAAUCGCCUUACAUUCCCAGUAUCUUGUUUGGCUUAUGUGGAAAGACAUUCUCAAGGUUGUAGUUUGCCUAGAUUUUCAUACUGAUUGGACUUAACAAGAAAAGCAAUCUUUGACUUUUAAUCAAAGUAGUCUGUAACAUUAGCUGGUUCUAUUACCUCUUAAUUUUUCAUGGCUAGAUGAAUUACAAAGCAAAAAAUCCACAACAUGAAAAAAAUAAAUGAAAUCAGUUUGUGCUGAAGAACUGGAUUCCUCUUACGCUGGUUUCUGAUACUUGAUGACACAGGCAAUUGAAGAGAAAAGGUUAUUUAUCCUCGAUUACCAUGAUAUGCUUUUGCCAUUUAUCGAGAAGAUGAACUCCUUGCCAGGAAGAAAAGCUUAUGCAUCAAGGACUGUUUUCUUCUAUGAUCAGGCUGGUAUUCUAAGGCCAAUAGUUAUUGAGCUUUCACUUCCCCCAUCACCCUCUUCACCUUGCAACAAACAUGUUUACAUUCAUGGGCCUGAUGCCACGACACAUUGGAUCUGGAAACUAGCCAAAGCUCAUGUCUGCUCAAAUGAUGCUGGUGUUCAUCAACUAGUAAAUCACUGGUAAAAGAAAAGAUUGUACUCAAUGAAAUUUAAAAAAGCAAGGCAUGCACGUUUCUAACCUGUGGGUGUUUUUGAAUUCUCAGGUUGAGGACUCAUGCCUGCAUGGAGACUUAUCUAAUUGCAACUCACAGGCAGCUUAGUGCAAUGCACCCCAUUUACAAGUUGCUCCAUCCCCAUACACGUUAUACACUAGAAAUUAAUGCACUUGCACGGCAGAGCUUAAUAAAUGGAGGAGGAAUAAUUGAGGCCUGUUUCAGUCCUGGAAAGU
rnacentral:lncRNA from 1 species